rnacentral:rRNA from 1 species
AUUGAACGCUGGCGGCAUGCCUUACACAUGCAAGUCGAACGGCAGCACGGGUGCUUGCACCUGGUGGCGAGUGGCGAACGGGUGAGUAAUGUAUCGGAACGUACCAUUCAGUGGGGGAUAACGUAGCGAAAGUUACGCUAAUACCGCAUAUUCUCUGAGGAGGAAAGUAGGGGAUCGCAAGACCUUACGCUGAUUGAGCGGCCGAUAUCGGAUUAGCUAGUUGGUGAGGUAAAGGCUCACCAAGGCGACGAUCCGUAGCUGGUCUGAGAGGAUGAUCAGCCACACUGGAACUGAGACACGGUCCAGACUCCUACGGGAGGCAGCAGUGGGGAAUUUUGGACAAUGGGGGGCAACCCUGAUCCAGCAAUGCCGCGUGAGUGAAGAAGGCC